rnacentral:rRNA from 1 species
GACGAACGCUGGCGGCGUGCUUAACACAUGCAAGUCGAACGGUGACCCAGGGCUUGCCCUGGUGAUCAGUGGCGAACGGGUGAGUAACACGUGGGCAACCUGCCCCUGACUUCGGGAUAACUCCUCGAAAGAGGAGCUAAUACCGGAUACGACCACUUCGGACAUCCGAUGGUGGUGGAAAGUUUUUCGGUCAGGGAUGGGGCCCGCGGCCUAUCAGCUAGUUGGUGGGGUAAUGGCCUACCAAGGCGACGACGGGUAGCCGGCCUGAGAGGGCGACCGGCCACACUGGGACUGAGACACGGCCCAGACCCCUACGGGAGGCAGCAGUGGGGAAUAUUGCGCAAUGGGCGAAAGCCUGACGCAGCGACGCCGCGUGAGGGAUGAAGGGCCUUCGGGUUGUAAACCUCUUUCAGCAGGACGAAGCGAAAGUGACGGUACCUGCAGAAGAAGCACCGGCUAACUACGUGCCAGCAGCCG